GACAGAGGGUGCAAACGUUGCUCGGAAUUACUGGGCGUAAAGCGCACGUAGGCGGUUUGUUAAGUCAGGGGUGAAAUCCCAGAGCUCAACUCUGGAACUGCCUUUGAUACUGGCAAGCUAGAGUCCGGAAGAGGUAAGUGGAACUCCUAGUGUAGAGGUGGAAUUCGUAGAUAUUAGGAAGAACACCAGUGGCGAAGGCGGCUUACUGGUCCGGAACUGACGCUGAGGUGCGAAAGCGUGGGGAGCAAACAGG
rnacentral:rRNA from 1 species